UACGUAGGGUGCGAGCGUUGUCCGGAAUUAUUGGGCGUAAAGAGCUCGUAGGCGGCUUGUCACGUCGGGUGUGAAAUCCCCAAGCUUAACUUGGGAACUGCAUCCGAUACUGGAUGGCUUGAAUCCGGGAGAGGGAUGCAGAAUUCCAGGUGUAGCGGUGAAAUGCGUAGAUAUCUGGAGGAAUACCGGUGGCGAAGGCGGCAUCCUGGACCGGCAUUGACGCUGAGGAGCGAAAGCUAGGGGAGCAAACGGGG
rnacentral:rRNA from 1 species